UACUGUAAAAGAGUAUAAUAAGACACUAACUGGGUGAACCUGGGCAAGUCACUUAAUCCUGCAUGUCUCAGUUUCCUCCUCUAUAAAAUAAGCUAGAAAAAUAAAUGGCAAACAACUCCAAUAUCUUUGCCAAUGACCCCAAAAUGGAGUCACAAAGAGUAGUACACAAGUGAAACAACUUGACAACAACAAAUAAUACUAAUACUAAGUUGUGAAGAAAGCAUUUGGACACCUCACAAUUCUAUAUGAAUAUAAAUUAUUACCCCCUAACUCCAAACUGAUGAUCCUAUUAAUCAAGUACUUGCCAGUGACAUUUCCUGUAUAUUUUUCAUGUUUUCAUUUAACAGAGUUGUGAUUAGGGGUUGGAUUUGAAGUCCAAAAACCUCAGUUCAAGUUCUGCCUCCGACACAGGAUGUGUGAACUAAUCAUGUCCAAUUCACUUAAUGUGUCCAUACCCUGAGCAGCUUUCUUAGACCAUAAAGAGCUAUUCUCUCCAUGGUGGUGGGAGUUGGGUCAAGGAAGCACAAUGUGUGAGGGUUGGGGAGUACUGGAAACAGAUGAAAUCACAGAUCUAGACCAAAUUUUAAAAAUCAGCAUUUAAUUUUUUUUCUGUGCUCCAGCCUUAUCUUCCCAUCCAGAUCAUAAACCACUUGAGGAGAGGUAUCCUGCCUUCAUAGACCCCACAGUGCCCUGAACAAUUUGAUGGGUGCAAGCCUCAAAUAUGUUUCAGAAUGGCAAGAGCAUAACUCCAAGGACCGAAGUUAUUUAAGUGGUGGAGCACAACAAGCAAUGAAUUUUUCCGGCACAGGAGAUUUAUGGCAACAGCUUACAAGAUGCAGUGAAUUCUCUGAAAUCUGCCCUUGUGGACCAAAGUCUGCCUACUUUCCUUCCUAACUCUUCAACCUAUCCCUACCCUAAUCUGGCAUCUCCCUUAUUUUCAAGUUUAUUGAUAUAGGUUUCCAGCUAAGAAAAAGGCACAUUAUAAACUGGACUAUGAUUGUAAGGUUUCAGCUCUGAGUCUAUAUGAGCAAGGAAUUGUUUGUGGUAAAGUGUGUAUAUCCUGACAGCAUGGUAUUUAACAAGAAAUUGAACAGAAAAGGAAUACCGUUUACCCAUGAAUCUAUUUUUAAGUUUUAACGCAAAAAUUGGAGCAGUAAUAAUAAAUUAUAAUCAUUGUUCA
rnacentral:lncRNA from 1 species